CGCAGGGCGCAGGACCCUCCGGCCGGAAUGCCGUCGCCGCGUCUCCUCCGCCCAAAGGGCCGGCACCGGACGCAGCUUGCGGAGCACCAGCAGCUAGCUGCACGCCCGGCUGCCGCUUCUCCGGGAGCCCCGGCCCUCUGCCAGGCAGUGCGGGGCAGGUCUCUGGUCCAGACUCAGCCAUCCUCGUGCCCUGGUUCUCCCGGUCUGGGGAGACAGAUCAGCCCACGUGAGAGAAAGAAGCUGGAAAUGAUGGAGUCCCAGCACCACUCAGUGGCUCUGUGGCCCAGCCCCAUCUCAACCAGGAUGGUGGCCAGCUUUCUUAUUUCUUGCUUGGAAUGAAUGGACUGAACACUCUUUUCAGCUGAAGGUUACAUGGAGUUUUGAAACUAUACAGUGCUUUCAUCAGUGGAACGUCAGGUUUGGCUGUGGAGACCCCUGAAGUCUAAGUCUAUAUGUUAAAUAGCAGAAGAACCAAUUUAGCACCUUGACAUUUUUUUAUUUUUUAAUUAUUUUAGAGAGAGUAUGCGUGUGAACGAGCACUAGUUGGGGGAGGGGCAGAUGGAGAGGGAGAAGCAGAGAAUUUCAAGCAGACUCCACUGCCAAGUGCGGAGCUCAGUAGGGAGCCUGCUUCUCCUUCUCCCUCUGCAGCUCCCCCUGAGUGUGCUAGCUUGUGCUCUCUCUGUCACACAAAUCUUUAAAAAAAUCUUUAAAAAAGAUUGUGUUCCCUCUCUCACUGUCUCUGUCAAAUAAAUAAA